rnacentral:rRNA from 1 species
UGCAGCGCCCUAAACAGUCGCCUCGUACGCUGAGCUUGGUGCUUGCACUGGGUGGAUGAGUGGCGAACGGGUGAGUAAUACGUGAGUAACCUGCCCUUGACUCUGGGAUAAGCCUGGGAAACUGGGUCUAAUACUGGAUACGACGGCGCAUCGCAUGGUGUGUUGUGGAAAGGGUUUUACUGGUUUUGGAUGGGCUCACGGCCUAUCAGCUUGUUGGUGGGGUAAUGGCUCACCAAGGCGACGACGGGUAGCCGGCCUGAGAGGGUGACCGGCCACACUGGGACUGAGACACGGCCCAGACUCCUACGGGAGGCAGCAGUGGGGAAUAUGGGGGGGGUGGGCGGAAGCCUGAUGCAGCGACGCCGCGUGAGGGAUGACGGCCUUCGGGUUGUAAACCUCUUUCAGCACGGAAGAAGCGAGAGUGACGGUACGUGCAAAAGAAGCGCCGGCUAACUGGGUGCGCAGCAGCCCGCGGUAA